GAGGGCAAGUCUGGUGCCAGCAGCCGCGGUAAUUCCAGCUCCAAUAGCGUAUAUUAAAGUUGUUGCAGUUAAAAAGCUCGUAGUUGAUUUUCUGUUAAUUUUUAUGUAUAAUAUUGCGAUAUUUACAUAAUAUUAACAUAAUUCACAUUACUUUACAGUAUGUGGAAUUUUACUUUGAGAAAAUUAGAGUGCUUAAAGCAGGCUAUUGCCUUGAAUACUCCAGCAUGGAAUAAUAUUAAGGAUUUUUAUUCUUCUUAUUGGUUCUAGAAUAAAAAUAAUGAUUAAUAGGAACAGUUGGGGGCAUUUGUAUUUAACAGUUAGAGGUGAAAUUCUUAGAUUUGUUAAAGACAAACUACUGCGAAAGCAUUUGCCAAGGAUGUUUUCAUUAAUCAAGAACGAAAGUUAGGGGAUCGAAGACGAUCAGAUACCGUCGUAGUCUUAACCAUAAACUAUGCCAACUAGAGAUUGGAGGUUGUUCCUUACUCCUUC
rnacentral:rRNA from 1 species